rnacentral:rRNA from 1 species
GACAGAGGGUGCAAACGUUGUUCGGAAUUACUGGGCGUAAAGCGCGUGUAGGCGGCUCUGCAAGUCAGGUGUGAAAUCCCACGGCUCAACCAUGGAAGUGCACUUGAAACUGCAGGGCUAGAGUCCUGGAGAGGAAGGUGGAAUGCUUGGUGUAGAGGUGAAAUUCGUAGAUAUCAAGCGGAACACCGGUGGCGAAGGCGGCCUUCUGGACCGACACUGACGCUGAGGCGCGAAAGCUAGGGUAGCAAACGGG